rnacentral:rRNA from 1 species
CACGUAGGGUGCGAGCGUUGUCCGGAAUUAUUGGGCGUAAAGAGUUCGUAGGCGGUUUGUCGCGUCUGCCGUGAAAGUCCGGGGCUCAACUCCGGAUCUGCGGUGGGUACGGGCAGACUAGAGUGAUGUAGGGGAGACUGGAAUUCCUGGUGUAGCGGUGAAAUGCGCAGAUAUCAGGAGGAACACCGAUGGCGAAGGCAGGUCUCUGGGCAUUAACUGACGCUGAGGAGCGAAAGCAUGGGGAGCGAACAGG